rnacentral:rRNA from 1 species
CCUACGGGAGGCAGCAGUGAGGAAUAUUGGUCAAUGGGCGUAAGCCUGAACCAGCCAAGUCGCGUGAGGGAUGAAGGUUCUAUGGAUCGUAAACCUCUUUUAUAAGGGAAUAAAGUGUGGGACGUGUCCUGUUUUGUAUGUACCUUAUGAAUAAGGAUCGGCUAACUCCGUGCCAGCAGCCGCGGUAAUACGGAGGAUCCGAGCGUUAUCCGGAUUUAUUGGGUUUAAAGGGUGCGUAGGCGGCCUGUUAAGUCAGCGGUGAAAGUCUGUGGCUCAACCAUAGAAUUGCAGUUGAAACUGGGAGGCUUGAGUAUGUUUGAGGCAGGCGGAAUGCGUGGUGUAGCGGUGAAAUGCUUAGAUAUCACGAAGAACCCCGAUUGCGAAGGCAGCCUGCCAGGCCAUGACUGACGCUGAUGCACGAAAGCGUGGGGAUCAAACAGGAUUAGAUACCCUAGUAGUC